UACAGAGGUCUCAAGCGUUGUUCGGAUUCAUUGGGCGUAAAGGGUGCGUAGGUGGCGCCGUAAGUCGGGUGUGAAAUCCUGAGGCUUAACCUCAGAACUGCAUUCGAUACUGCGGUGCUUGAGGACUGGAGAGGAGACUGGAAUUCAUGGUGUAGCAGUGAAAUGCGUAGAGAUCAUGAGGAAGACCAGUGGCGAAGGCGGGUCUCUGGACAGUUCCUGACACUGAGGCACGAAGGCCAGGGGAGCAAACAGG
rnacentral:rRNA from 1 species